rnacentral:rRNA from 1 species
ACAUGCGUACAUCAUAGCAUUAAUGCACUAGAUCCCAUUAGAAAUAUGCAGUUAAGUGCGCUCAGGCUAGAGUAAUACUGGGAUGAGUGACCACCUGGGAAGUCCUAGUGUUUUACAUGCC